UACGUAGGGGGCGAGCGUUGUCCGGAGUUACUGGGCGUAAAGCGCACGCAGGCGGUCUGUUAACCCUCGCCUCACAGUUGGUGGCUUAACUGCCAAAGUGCUUCGAAAACUGACAGACUUGAGGGCUUCAGAGGGACACGGAAUUCCGGGUGGAGUGGUGAAAUGCGUAGAGAUCCGGAGGAACACCAGUGGCGAAGGCGAGUCUCUGGACAUUUCCUGACGCUGAGGCACGAAAGCCAGGGGAGCAAACGGG
rnacentral:rRNA from 1 species